rnacentral:rRNA from 1 species
GAUGAACGCUGGCGGCGCGCCUAACACAUGCAAGUCGAACGGAGCUUGCUUGUCAGAUUCUUUCGGGGUGACGACCUGUAAGCUUAGUGGCGAACGGGUGAGUAACACGUGAGUAACCUGCCCCAGAGUGGGGGACAACAGUUGGAAACGACUGCUAAUACCGCAUAAGCCCACGACCUGGCAUCGGGUUGAGGGAAAAGGAGCAAUCCGCUUUGAGAUGGCCUCGCGUCCGAUUAGCUAGUUGGUGAGGUAACGGCCCACCAAGGCAACGAUCGGUAGCCGGACUGAGAGGUUGAACGGCCACAUUGGGACUGAGACACGGCCCAG